rnacentral:rRNA from 1 species
GUGGGGAAUUUUGGACAAUGGGCGCAAGCCUGAUCCAGCAAUGCCGCGUGCAGGAAGAAGGCCUUCGGGUUGUAAACUGCUUUUGUACGGAACGAAACGGCUCUGGUUAAUACCCGGGGCUAAUGACGGUACCGUAAGAAUAAGCACCGGCUAACUACGUGCCAGCAGCCGCGGUAAUACGUAGGGUGCAAGCGUUAAUCGGAAUUACUGGGCGUAAAGCGUGCGAAGGCGGUUGUGUAAGACAGGCGUGAAAUCCCCGGGCUCAACCUGGGAAUUGCGCUUGUGACUGCACAGCUGGAGUGCGGCAGAGGGGGAUGGAAUUCCGCGUGUAGCAGUGAAAUGCGUAGAUAUGCGGAGGAACACCGAUGGCGAAGGCAAUCCCCUGGGCCUGCACUGACGCUCAUGCACGAAAGCGUGGGGAGCAAACAGGAUUAGAUACCCGAGUAGUCC